GAUGAAGAACGUAGCGAAAUGCGAUAAGUAGUGUGAAUUGCAGAAUUCAGUGAAUCAUCGAGUCUUUGAACGCACAUUGCGCCCCUUGGUAUUCCAUGGGGCAUGCCUGUUCGAGCGUCAUUUGUACCUUCAAGCCUUGCUUGGUGUUGGGUGUUUGUCUCGCCUCUGCGCGCAGACUCGCCUCAAAACAAUUGGCAGCCGGCGUAUUGAUUUCGGAGCGCAGUACAUCUCGCGCUUUGCACUCAGAACGACGACGUCCAAAAGUACAUUUUUACACUCUUGACCUCGGAUCAGGUAGGGAUACCCGCUGAACUUAAGCAUAUCAAUAAGCGGAGGA
rnacentral:misc_RNA from 1 species